UACGUAGGGGGCAAGCGUUGUCCGGAAUCAUUGGGCGUAAAGAGCGUGUAGGCGGCUCGGUAAGUCGGCUGUGAAAGUCCAGGGCUCAACCCUGGGAUGCCGGUCGAUACUGCCGGACUAGAGUUCGGAAGAGGCGAGUGGAAUUCCCGGUGUAGCGGUGAAAUGCGCAGAUAUCAGGAAGAACACCAAUGGCGAAAGCAGCUUUCUGGGACGGUACUGACGCUGAGACGCGAAAGCGUGGGGAGCGAACAGG
rnacentral:rRNA from 1 species